AAGGUAGGGGCAGGGGCAAGGGAUUCAAGUGCCUUCAAGGAACAUUGACCCAGCCUCUCUGUCCCCAG
rnacentral:miRNA from 14 species